rnacentral:rRNA from 1 species
CAGCAGCCGCGGUAAUACGAAGGGUGCAAGCGUUACUCGGAAUUACUGGGCGUAAAGCGUGCGUAGGUGGUGGUUUAAGUCCGUUGUGAAAGCCCUGGGCUCAACCUGGGAAUUGCAGUGGAUACUGGGUCACUAGAGUGUGGUAGAGGAUAGUGGAAUUUCCGGUGUAGCAGUGAAAUGCGUAGAGAUCGGAAGGAACAUCUGUGGCGAAGGCGACUAUCUGGGCCAACACUGACACUGAGGCACGAAAGCGUGGGGAGCAAACAGGAUUAGAUACCCCGGUAGUCCCUGUCUCUUAUAC